GACGUAGGGCGCGAGCGUUGUCCGGAUUAUUGGCGUAAAGAGCUCGUAGGCGGCUUGUUGCGUCAGCUGUGAAAACCCGCAGCUCGACUGUGGGCUUGCAGCUGAUACGGGCAGGCUUGAGUUCGGUAGGGAGACUGGAAUUCCCGGUGUAGUGGUGAAAUGCGUAGAUAUCGGGAGGAACACCAGUGGCGAAGGCGACUACCUGGCCUGUUCUUGACGCUGAGGCGCGAAAGCUAGGGAGCAAACGGG
rnacentral:rRNA from 1 species